AAAAAUAAAGGAAAUGCAACACAGAUAAAGAACAAACUAGAUGUUUGUUUUAGGUGUGGGAUGAAUGGGCAUUGGUCGCGUACCUGUCGUACGUCAAGGCAUCUGAUUAAUUUAUUCCAGGAGUCUCAAAAGAACAAAGUAAUGAAGGCAGAAAUAAAUUUUGUUAAUCAUUAAUUGGAUAUUGUUGAUGUUCCACCAAUGACCAACAAUAAGGAAAAGGUUGUUGAUAUUACUGAACCUUCUGAAAGUAUCUUUUGGGAUAUCGUUUAAUUAUUGUUUAAAUUAAACACCUUGCAUGUAUAAUAUUAUUUGUUUUCAUUGUAGCAUCCCCGAAUCCGGGUUCCAAAUCGCCGCGGAUCCGGUAUACUAAUUCUAUCACUAUUGCGGAAGAUAUAAACAUACAUUGUUUAUACAUUAAACUUUACACAUCAGUCCCAAGGUCCACAACCUUAACUUAAUACAUACCUUCAAUAUUAAAAAGGUUUACAAUACUAUUUUCGUUAGAAAAUUUAAUAAAUCUAACUGCAACAUAAAAAAAAACUUUGCACUUUGUCUUUGCCUCUGUCCUUAUUCAAGCCUUCAUCUUAAUCUGAAAAUUUUAUCAUGAUAUAGCAAGGGUGAGCAACAAAUUUGCCCAGCAAGUUUUACAUACAAUGGAGAUAUAUCAUGAUUGAAAAGAAUGAAUAAGCUUUCAAGUUUUCAACAAUAUAAUAAUUGUGAAAUAACAUGAAUCAAGUUUCAAUGAUUGAAUGACUGAACCAAUGAUAUUGGAUGUCAACAAUUAACAUGAACAAGUUUAACUGAAACCUAUGGUAAUGAAGGUGAUCAGCCUUUCAUACCUGAUGAACAUAAACAACAUGCACAAUGUGCGAAUCAAUAAAUUAUUGACGUGGUAUAAUCAACAAUAAUUAACCACUAACAUGCUUUGAAUUAACNNNNN
rnacentral:lncRNA from 1 species